UAUCUCUGUAGAGUCUGCAUAUCAAUAAGCGGAGGAAAAGAAACUAACAAGGAUUCCCUUAGUAACGGCGAGUGAAGCGGGAAGAGCUCAAAUUUGAAAUCUUCAAGGUUCUACCUUGACGAAUUGUAGUUUAAAGAAGUGUUUUCUGUUAGAUGAGUAGCAAAAGUUCCUUGGAAUGGGACAUCAUAGAGGGUGAGAAUCCCGUAUUUGGUUAUUCAUUCUAGCUUUGUGAUACACUUUCAAAGAGUCGGAUUGUUUGGGAAUGCAGUCCAAAAUGGGUGGUAAAUUUCAUCUAAAGCUAAAUAUUGGCGAGAGACCGAUAGCGAACAAGUACCGUGAGGGAAGGAUGAAAAGAACUUUGAAAAGAGAGUUAAACAGUACGUGAAAUUGUCAAAAGGGAAGCGUUUGACACCAGUGUUGUUUUUCCGAAAAUCAAUUACGAAUGGCUUGAUUUUGUGUUGUAUUGACCUUAUCAGCUUUCUUCACUUUUUUCGAGUCUUUCUUAAUGCACUUUUCGGUUAACAAGUCAACAUCAAUUUCUUUUGUUGUAAAAGAGUAUUCGGAAGGUGGCUUUCUUUUCGGAGAAAGUGUUUAUAGCCCUAUACUUCUACAAUCGGAGAGAUUGAGGUCUGCAGCGUAGAUCCUUCGGGGUUAGAUACACUUGUGCUAAGUUGUAGCUUUUCAUAGACAACUUGUUGACUAUGUUUAGUCAUGCGGCUUACUCGCUUGUGCUAUUUUACCUACGCUUAGGAUGUUGACUGAUAUGUAGUCGUA
rnacentral:rRNA from 1 species